UUUUGUUUCAGAUUGCGUUCCUGUGUUGUUUUACGGACUGCCCGCCGUUCUCCUGCUAAUUCUGGUCUUGGUGUCUGUGGCGUGUGUUUACAGAAGACUUCAUAAAACUAAAACCGAUCACAAGUCCAGCGACGCGCCCUGCCGUCCUCAGCGCCCCGCACGACACAGAACAGUCCAGGAUUACUCGACGGAGUACGCAUCGCUCAAUCUGUGAUGCUGAUCUAUAAAUGCAGCCGUGGAGAUGUCCAAUUCACUGUGCAUUUACAUAGUAGUUAAUAAAUACAUGCAUAACACAAUUACAAUGUUAUUAUGCAUUGUUACAAUGUACUUACAGUGGAAAUCUCUGUGCUAGAUAUAACCCUAUCCACUAACACUAACCCUAACACUUUUCUAUUACAGCUGUGUACUUGCAUAUAUCGUGCAAAAAGACAUCCACACUAAGCACUUUGUAACUAUGCAUAAUACCAUUGUAAUGAUGUGCCAGUCCGCAUGCAUUUACCAAAUACACAGUAAUGAGAGACACUUGUUUUACACAUGUAAAAUAUUACCCAUUUGUAUUGAAAUGAACUUUAAACAGCCAGACUCAAAUUCAAGCAAGCCUCUCAUGCUGCAC